AAGCAUUUAGGAAGUGCUUGCCUGGUUAAAUCACAAAUCUGAAUUUAACUAGUUCGUCAUGAGCUUGCCUGUGGGAUACCUGCAAGCU
rnacentral:sRNA from 21 species